rnacentral:rRNA from 1 species
AUUGAACGCUGGCGGCAGGCCUAACACAUGCAAGUCGAGCGGUAGAGAGAAGCUUGCUUCUCUUGAGAGCGGCGGACGGGUGAGUAAUGCCUAGGAAUCUGCCUGGUAGUGGGGGAUAACGUUCGGAAACGGACGCUAAUACCGCAUACGUCCUACGGGAGAAAGCAGUGGCCCUUCGGGCCUUGCGCUAUCAGAUGAGCCUAGGUCGGAUUAGCUAGUUGGUGAGGUAAUGGCUCACCAAGGCGACGAUCCGUAACUGGUCUGAGAGGAUGAUCAGUCACACUGGAACUGAGACACGGUCCAGACUCCUACGGGAGGCAGCAGUGGGGAAUAUUGGACAAUGGGCGAAAGCCUGAUCCAGCCAUGCCGCGUGUGUGAAGAAGGUCUUCGGAUUGUAAAGCACUUUAAGUUGGGAGGAAGGGCAGUAAAUUAAUACUUUGCUGUUUUGACGUUACCGACAGAAGAAGAAAAGGAGAAAGAGGGGAAAGAAGAAGAAGGAAAAC